GGGACUUGGGGCGGGCUAUACAUGCAGUCGAGCGGACAGAUGGGAGCUUGCUCCCUGAUGUUAGCGGCGGACGGGUGAGUAACACGUGGGUAACCUGCCUGUAAGACUGGGAUAACUCCGGGAAACCGGGGCUAAUACCGGAUGGUUGUUUGAACCGCAUGGUUCAGACAUAAAAGGUGGCUUCGGCUACCACUUACAGAUGGACCCGCGGCGCAUUAGCUAGUUGGUGAGGUAACGGCUCACCAAGGCGACGAUGCGUAGCCGACCUGAGAGGGUGAUCGGCCACACUGGGACUGAGACACGGCCCAGACUCCUACGGGAGGCAGCAGUAGGGAAUCUUCCGCAAUGGACGAAAGUCUGACGGAGCAACGCCGCGUGAGUGAUGAAGGUUUUCGGAUCGUAAAGCUCUGUUGUUAGGGAAGAACAAGUGCCGUUCAAAUAGGGCGGCACCUUGACGGUACCUAACCAGAAAGCCACGGCUAACUACGUGCCAGCAGCCGCGGUAAUACGUAGGUGGCAAGCGUUGUCCGGAAUUAUUGGGCGUAAAGGGCUCGCAGGCGGUUUCUUAAGUCUGAUGUGAAAGCCCCCGGCUCAACCGGGGAGGGUCAUUGGAAACUGGGGAACUUGAGUGCAGAAGAGGAGAGUGGAAUUCCACGUGUAGCGGUGAAAUGCGUAGAGAUGUGGAGGAACACCAGUGGCGAAGGCGACUCUCUGGUCUGUAACUGACGCUGAGGAGCGAAAGCGUGCGGAGCGAACAGGAUUAGAUACCCUGGUAGUCCACGCCGUAAACGAUGAGUGCUAAGUGUUAGGGGGUUUCCGCCCCUUAGUGCUGCAGCUAACGCAUUAAGCACUCCGCCUGGGGAGUACGGUCGCAAGACUGAAACUCAAGGAAUUGACGGGGGCCCGCACAAGCGGUGGAGCAUGUGGUUUAAUUCGAAGCAACGCGAAGAACCUUACCAGGUCUUGACAUCCUCUGACAAUCCUAGAGAUAGGACGUUCCCCU
rnacentral:rRNA from 1 species